CCUUGAUGAUGACACCCUCACACGUCCGACUUACUAAUGUGUACCAGAGCCUGUAAAGGUGAACCCACUGGUCCUGUUAGUAGGAAGAGAAGGAUGUACUGUUCCAGCUGGAACUGUCUGAAAGGG